rnacentral:lncRNA from 1 species
CGUAGAUUUUACAUUUGAGUGUAAGGAUGACCCCUGCAAAAUAAGCGGCGGCAUCCACAUCCCUAAAUACGCUUGUUUUCUUUUUCUCUACUCUUUCGCAUUCCAAGGUCUGCACUCUUUUCCUCACAGGGGUACUCCUACCAGGAGGUGGGGUUUUUAACGAGGCAGAACCUAUGUAAAAACCUCUGAAAUAUAAAGAGGAAUCCACCCC